rnacentral:rRNA from 1 species
AAUCAACGCUGGCGGCGUGCCUAACACAUGCAAGUCGAACGCGAAAUGGGCUUCGGCCCAAAUCGAGUGGCGAACGGGUGAGUAACACGUGGGUGAUCUACCUUCGAGCGGGGGAUAACGUUCCGAAAGGAACGCUAAUACCGCAUGACGUCCUGGGUUUGAAGACCUGGAGACCAAAGCUAGGGACCGCAAGGCCUGGCACUUGAAGAGGAGCCCGCGUCCGAUUAGCUAGUUGGCGGGGUAACGGCCC